CCUACGGGGGGCAGCAGUGGGGAAUAUUGGACAAUGGGCGAAAGCCUGAUCCAGCCAUGCCGCGUGUGUGAAGAAGGCCUUCGGGUUGUAAAGCACUUUCAGUGGGGAAGAAAGCCUUGGGGCUAAUACCCUCGAGGAAGGACAUCACCCACAGAAGAAGCACCGGCUAACUCCGUGCCAGCAGCCGCGGUAAUACGGAGGGUGCGAGCGUUAAUCGGAAUUACUGGGCGUAAAGCGCGCGUAGGCGGUCUGAUAAGCCGGUUGUGAAAGCCCCGGGCUCAACCUGGGAACGGCAUCCGGAACUGUCAGGCUAGAGUGCAGGAGAGGAAGGUAGAAUUCCCGGUGUAGCGGUGAAAUGCGUAGAGAUCGGGAGGAAUACCAGUGGCGAAGGCGGCCUUCUGGACUGACACUGACGCUGAGGUGCGAAAGCGUGAGUAGCAAACAGGAUUAGAUACCCGAGUAGUC
rnacentral:rRNA from 1 species